GUUUGUGUUUGUUUUGUAUGUAUGAAUGACAUUUAAUCAAUGCUGUAACACUUGAGUUGCAAAAACUUCAGUAAAUGUUACAAGAACUCUCUCAGCCUACGUGAAUGAAGCAAUUUUCCAUGAAGACAGCCCAUAGCAGGGGGAACAAGGCACCUGCACCCCUGGAUGCGCUCACUGAUUUGAUCUCAUCAACAGCUGUUGCCAAAUACCCUUUCCAGGCCCUACUCCCAGUCUGGGCUCACCUAACAUGGAAAGAAAAAAGGCAUAUCGAAACCUCCGUGGAUCGGCAGAUGCAGGUAAGUAAAAUUGCCAUUUAAGUGCACGGACUGUCCCUGAUUUAGUAUUUAUUCAUGUUAAACUUUUCCUGCUGGGGGCUCCAUUUUUUUAAGUUUUGGCUGAUUCUGUGUGCUGCUGCAGCAGCAGCAUCAAAAGGAAAAGAGUUCCUUGGCUUAAACACCAUGGCAGCAAAAUACAGUGGCCUGUGUGCAUCCAGCGUGGUUUCUGGAGGCUUAUCUGCACAAGAAUGUACUUAACAGGCACUAAUGAUUUAGUUUAUGGGGAUGUACUAGAUGUAAAAUAAAAAGCCCUGGAGAAAUUCAAUUAUAAAUAUUUUAUUUAAGAAUACUGAUUACACAUGAGAUGUCGUUUUUUAUGAGUCUGUGUACAGUUACUAGUUACACCAUGAAGUGUAGUUCAGUAUUUGCUUAAACAUUUAUUUGGCACUGUCCACAGUAUGCUGUAAACAAUAUUAACUUUAUAUGCUUCAGCUGCAGUGCUUUCUAUGUAUUCUCUAACAUGAUUUCAUCAACAUCUUGUACACAAUUAUACAGUUACUGAGUGUCAGUAAAAAUUAUAAAAACACCUAGAGUAUUCAUAAUAAAAGUGAAGAUGUGGUAAGACUUCAAA